UACGUAGGGGGCAAGCGUUGUCCGGAUUUAUUGGGCGUAAAGAGCGUGUAGGCGGCUUUACAGGUCCGUUGUGAAAAACUCGAGGCUCAACCUCGAGACGCCGGUGGAAACCGUAAGGCUAGAGUCCGGAAGAGGAGAGUGGGAAUUCCUGGUGUAGCGGUGAAAUGCGCAGAUAUCAGGAGGAACACCCGUGGCGAAAGCGGCUCUCUGGGACGGUACUGACGCUGAGG
rnacentral:rRNA from 1 species